UACAUCCACUACUCUAAGUCGCUCUGGAUAAGAGUGUCUGCUAAAUUACUAAAA
rfam:Salmo salar isolate Sally breed double haploid chromosome ssa09, whole genome shotgun sequence.